rnacentral:rRNA from 1 species
CCUGGCGGCCGUAGCGCGGUGGUCCCACCUGACCCCAUGCCGAACUCAAGAAGUGAAACGCCGUAGCGCCGAUGGUAGUGUGGGGUCUCCCCAUGCGAGAGUAGGGAACUGCCAGGC